rnacentral:rRNA from 1 species
UCAGAUUGAACGCUAGCGUCAUGCUUUACACAUGCAAGUCGUACGGCAACACAAGCUUCGGCUAGGUGGCAAGUGGCAAACGGGUGAGUAAUGCAUCAGGACAUACCUCAUUGUGGGGGAUAGCCCAACGAAAGUUGGAUUAAUACCGCAUACAAUUCGUCCUUAGGAUGAAUGAAAGCAGGGGACUGUCAAGCCUUGCGCUCUGAGAAUGACUGAUGUCCGAUUAGUUAGUUGGUGGGGUAAAUGCUCACCAAGGCAUCGAUCGGUAGCUGGUCUGAGAGGACGAUCAGCCACACUGGAACUGAGACACGGUUCAGACUUCUACGGGAGGCAGCAGUGGGGAAUUUUGGACAAUGGGGGAAACCCUGAUCCAGCAAUGUCGCGUGUGAGAAGAAGGCCCUUGGGUCGUAAAUCACUUUUGUUCGGGAAGAAAGCCAGCCAACUAACAAUUGGUGUGGUAUGACGGUACCGAAAGAAUAAGCACCGGCUAACUACUGCCAGCAGCCGCGGUAAUACGUAGGGUGCAAGCGUUAAUCGGAAUUACUGGGCGUAAAGGGUGUGUAGGUUGCCUGCUAAGACUAUCCGUUAAAGCCUGAGGCUCAACCUUAGAGAGCGUUGGUUACUGGCAGGCUAGAGUAUGGAAGAGGAGGGUAGAAUUCUGCAUGUAGCAGUGAAAUGCGUAGAUAUGCAGAGGAAUACCGAAGGCGAAGGCAGCCCUCUGGGCCAAUACUGACGCUCAAACACGAAAGCAUGGGGAGCAAACAGGAUUAGAUACCCUGGUAGUCCAUGCCCUAAACGAUGUCGACCAAUCAUUGGGCCGGUAAUCGGUUCAGUGGUGCAGUUAACGCAUUAAGUCGACCGCCUGGG